CUGAAAGAAAAAUAAGGAAACAUUACGAUAUUACAUAACUUAUGCAUUCCAAACUAUAAUGAUAUCUUUGUUGUAAAAUAUGUUAAGUAACCUUCACAAGUUAAAAGUUGAUUCAAAGGAAAAAUUGCAAGUCAAGACACCAAGAUUGAUGCCUUGGCGCAAACUGACCCAGUGCCACCCACAUUUCAUUACAUUCUUCAGUAUGGGCAAAAACCCAUGAUAAGGAUGAUUCGUGGGGAGAGCUGGUAAGCUGGCUGAGAUUCUAUUGUCGCUGCGCUGGCUGGGAUUAUGUGCCGGGAAUUGAAUGCUAAAUCCAUUUAUUAUAAAUGCAUUUCAUAACCAGGCAGGCAGAGCGUGCCACAAUAAUGUCAGCUGCAGCUACGCAGCAAGCUCAAGCUGCAGCUUUUGCCCAAAAGCGUGUAAAUCCCCGGAGCUGCUGCUUCUUCUGCUGGUGCCACGUGGCGUGGGUGGAUUUGCAUCCACAUCCGCAUAUCAGCAUCCUCAACCCCAACCCCCGGCCCAACCCCAAUCUCAGCCCCACAACCCCAUCCGUAUCCACAUCCCUAUCGUGCAUCUCCUAGCUCUCGGUGGUAAAAGCUGCAUAAAUUUCCACAAACAUACAAUAUGCAUAGAAAUAAUUUUGCUGAGUGACAGCAGCGAGCAGCUGUAAACCAAGGUAAUGCCAUUUGGGUCACAUUCAGCCGGCGCCGUGAAUGAGUGCGCCCCAACGCCACAGGAUCUAUUCUACAUAUCUGCCGCCCCAGGGUAUCCUUUUCAUUUAUGUUCGUGGCCAUCAGUCAUAGAAAUGUCCUGGGUAAUUGACUAAUAAAGGAUGCUGCUACCGGGCACAAAGGGCGGCAGAAAGUGUCCUGCUAAUGAAUUCAAUGAGUGAAUGCGCAAAGAAAUCAAGUUGUAUACGAGUAUACUGCAAAAAGGGGAGCCACAACAUAAAAAUAAAAGCAAUUAUGACUUUUCCUUGAAACCCCUUUCAAUGGUAGAUUUUACUUUUUUACUUCUCCAUUCUAAUCCCAAUUAGUCAACCUUGAAAUGCUGUACAUUUUCCAAUUAAAGGAAUGCAAACAAAAAUAUGCUAAGCGAAAAGAAAAAUCGUAAGUCGAUUUCAAAGAUUUGGUUAUUUUUGAAAAUCCCUAAAUCGAUUCACAAUUCGACUUACUGCCAAAGACUCGAUAGCAAAUUAUAUUUUUCCGAAAUUUUUGAUCAUUUCCCGCAACGAAUUCAAGUAUUCCUUGCCAGAGAAAAAAAAAGCAAACGAAAGACCACCGAAAAUAUGGAAAACAUUCAUGAAUAUUUAUGCCAAAGUUGCGUUUGUGCCUCAUCGGCAUCGAACACUUUGGGCCGUUGUGAAAAUGUUUUCAUUGCUGCCGCAGCCACUGCUUUUUCCGCUUUUCCCGCUUUUCCUUCGCUCCGUUGUUUGCUUUGCCUUCACGCACGUUUCGUCGGUGCAGUGGGUGGUUUGGGCGGUGGGCGUUUUGAGUGGGUGGCGCUGCUACAGCCUUGGCGUUGUUUUAUGCGAAAGGUCACGAACGCGGCUAAUACGACACGUUCGCGUUUUAUAUGAACUCUGGCCGAGACGGGGAAGUGGCCUGGCCAUCAAAACGGAGAAAUCCUCAAUAUAUAUUCGGGCAAACGUGUUUGCUAUAGUGGUGUAUAUAUAUAUAUUUCUAAGGCGGAAAGGUGCCAGCACUGGCAUAUAAAUUUCGCCCAUCAACGGUAUAAUUAAAUGUGAUUUAUGUAGCUCAAAUUUCCCCGCCACAGAGACAAGUGAAUUUUUCGGUUUUUUUUUUUUGGUUGUUUUGUGUGCAAUGGCCAAUGGCCGCGUUAAUUGAAAUCGAAAUUGAAGUAUAAAUAUUUCAAGUGUUUUUCGUGCAAAGUCAUAAACAAAAGGAUCAGAACGGGAACAGGAACAGCCGAAGCGCCAGGAAAAUGGGAACUAAUUAAUUUCUGGGCUGGCCGGGCUGCUUCAUGGAUUAAAACGCGACAGCAAUUCCACGAGGGAUGGGUAUGGGAAAAUGGAAAAUGAGAAUGGGUAUUGGGAAUGCAGCAUGCCGCAUGGAGGAGGAUGGAGCAUGAGAAAAAGAGCAAAAAUCUGCUCCUGUUCAGUUCCUGGGCUUCUGCACGGCGCAUUGUCGUAAAAAUUAAAUAGGACUUCUGUGCGAUGCUUGAAAAAGUUGAGCUCAGUGGCAGAUAGGAGGAAAAGAGGGCUAGCUGAGUCGUCGUUGGGCGCCACAAAAUGCCAUUAAGUUAAUGCGCAUUUGGGGGCCAAAAACGCUCGUUGCCGGGAACUCAACUCAAAGUCAACGUCAACGUGAUCCUCUGGACGAAAUGUGGCAGGCGUGUGCAUAAUUUGAAACUCAAAUGUAGCCCACAAAUAUGCUUCAAAACCGUAUUUAAUUUCCAAGAAAAACUGGAAAUCUAAGCAAAGGACAAUUGUUUCAAUACAGACAACUUGACGCCUGCGAAAUGUAUAUUUUACCGAUACAAAAGGCCAGAAACCAGCUCGACAACAAUCAAACAAAUUGCCAGAGAGAGAGAGAGAUGGUCGUACGUAACAUGAAACAAAGGCAAAACAAAUAUCAACAUAAAUAAGGUAAAAAUGGCAGACACUGCGGGGAGUUUUGGGAGCUGGGGGUACGAAAGCAUAGACAUACAAAGAUAUCCGAAACCGGAUUCUUCGUGUCAGUUUGCCUUGGAGCUGCUGCCAUAGCUCCUGCUCCUCCAGCUCCAUCUGCUCCUCCUCGAUUCCUUCGUUUUCUGGCGUUCUGCCGUUGUGUGCCUGGCAUUUGUUUGCCUUGCUAAUUUAACAGCCAGUCCCUCAUAUGUACAAUACACUACGCCACCCCAACCCGGAACCUCCGCCCAAGAUAUAGUAGCAUCAAUAACCAAUGAUAAACAUUUGUGUUUUUUCCCUCUUUCGUCUCGAAUAUCUGGCCCAACUGUUGCAAGUGACAGCUUUCAUCAAAGCGAUUUGUUACACAGAAUGGUCCAGCACAUAUGUAUUGUAUAUUUAUAUAUAUAUACAUAGAAGUAUUCGGUUUUAUAUCAGAAGGGCAUCAAUCUGACGACUGCCUGCAAUUAGAGUUGGCAAAUUAUAUUUGGCUUUUCCCCUGUCACCGGCAGAUGUGUUUGGUUCAAGUGUUAUCACAUCUGAGCAGGGAAAUAAAUACAUAAAGCAAAGUUUGGCUAUGCCCAUUAAAUCAAGCUUAAUUCGGCUAAUUUAUCAAGGUGAAUUAAAUUUGUGUUUAUUUGCGUAAAUUAUUAUGGCUAUUUGACAAAAUACAAAUCUGAAAUUUAUAUGCUUCACCUUUAAAUGCUUCCAACAGCCAAGACAAAAAUUGUUAUUUAAUUCUACUAGUAUCUCCAUGGUAACUUUUACCUACUUGUGUAGCUUUUUAUUUAUUAUUUUUACUUUUAACAAUUUCGCUGGCAAUUUUUGCGAAUCCUCUGUCUCUGGUUUUCGUUUAAUCCCCCAAGGUUUUUUUAUUUUGGCUUUUGCAUAACUUUACUGCUUUGGCUUUGUACAUUUUUCCGGGCUAAUCAAAUAAAGGAAAGUUGAUUAAAUUCAACCAUCCACUCACACACACACACACACACACAAAGGAAAUUAUUGUCUAUUUUUUGGUAUUACUUUUUCGUGGCGGCCACCUGUGCAUUUUUAUUGUUUGUAUUUGUAUUUAUUUUGCUGCUGGUUAUCCUUGAGAUGUUUCCUUUUUUUCCAUCUGCCCUUUCUAUUUUCGGCUCCCUGGCCUUUGUUAUCUGCUUUUUGCUCUUUGUUCUAAUUUAACCUAAUUUCUGCUUUGCUGCGCUUCUAUAAUAACAAUUUUCAAAAAUUGCUUUUGGUUUUUGUGAUGAAAAAGUCCAGGAACUGGUUUUCUUGGUCAAAAAGCACCCCUCCCAACACCGAUGCCUUCAUCGUUUUUUUGUUUUGGUGGGAAAGAAACCAGCGAGACAGAGUGAAAAAAGUAAUGAAAAGGAUCAAAUUGUGCCGCGAUGGGGGGAGCGAGGCAGGUGGCAGGGGAACUGAUUAUCGGAGCACUCGAGAGCAUCUGCCGCAGCUCCAUCUACCUUAUACCCUGUACCAUCGCCAUCUACCACCACCACUCGACAGCUCCAACUCCUGCUGUCGGCUGCCAAAACUUGGCAAGUUAAGAGACAAAGGCCCGGUCCUCCUGCGCGGUCUGUCCAUCAAGUCAAGCCAUCGAGUCAACCUAAGCCAGUUCCCCAAAAGCAGCUGGCCAGUGAAUAGCAAUCCCCAUCCCUACUGGCCCGAAAAAACCGCCUCUCCUUUGACUCAGGGCGAUUAAAAGGUGAUUUCCUGCUUUUUGUUUUGCAAUUUUCAGCAAUUUCGCUUUAUAUUUUGGCAACGGCCUGCCCAUUAAUGCUAUAUAUAUAUAUGUAUACACCCAGGCUGCUGGGAUACGAGGAUAUAUGGAUAACAGCAUGUGAUGCGUGUGCGCCGAGGUCCGGCGAAAGCCGCUUAAGCUGCUCGGUUGAGCACUUAAUCCCCUCCUUGUACUUAAGGAGUCUCAAGGGUAUAUCGGACCUGCGUGAAGUGGAGGUUGACCAUGGUCAAUUGAUCUCGGGGGAAUCGGGUUUGAAUUAAUAAAGCUUCAUGGUCAUCUGGAUUAAUUGAAACUAUCCCUAAUCGUCUAUAUCAUGCGUUUAUAAGAUACAACUAUUGUGCUUGAAAUUCUUAAGUCGGAUAAAAAAUAUUAUGUUUUAUUUAUGCUUUAUUUAUUUAUGCUUUAAAGACACAAAAACCAAAAACCGAAGCCGAAACGAUGUAUUUUUCCCUUUGAAUUCCCACAUAUACUUCUUAAAUUUCUAUUUCGCCCUUUGAGACUCGCAAGUAAUUGCGUCAGCUCGUCGAAAUUUUCUCGGCUUUGUGGGCGAACGUAGCACAUAUACAAUUUCCAGCCAAGCCCGUGAAUUUUGUUGGCAAGAAGUGUACACAUUUUGCUUCUAAGCAAGCAAAUUUCGCUUAAGCCAAACUUCAAAGUGGAGCGAAACGACUGAAUAACGCUGGAGGAACGGCAAACCAGCCAGCAAGCAGAUCAAAACAGGUGGCUGCCAAACCAGUUUAAUGGGGAUGAGGGGCAUCAGGGCCCCACUGACAUAUUUCGUUGAUGGUCCAACAACGUUACCGCAUUCUCAUAUUGGAGCGGUCUGACGCAUAAUCCUUUUAAUGAAGCAACCUGGAGCUGGUUACCUGGCUGCCCUUCCAUCGCCAUGGCUCCCCCCUGCCAGCUGCCUUUGUUUUCACUCCAUUGUUGAGGUUGCUGCUGCUGUUGCUGCUGCAAGCCCUUUAUUGACAUUAAUUAUAAUUAAGGAGGCGGUAGGGUGUCGAGUCCUUACAUCCCUGCACCUAGGAUGUGGUAGCAUACGAGUCGGAGUCGGUACAAGUCCAAGUCCGAGUCCUUCAUAUGCAGAUCCGAUUUCGAGAACUCCACAUCAUUCACUGUAAGCCCAACAUGAGAGCCCCACAAUCUCUUUAUAAGUCGCCCGGGGGCCCAGGAGGAGAUUAAGGCAUUGAACGUGAGGCCUAAGUGGCUGCCAGGGACGGUCGAGUCUGGCAUUAAAUAUUAAAUACGACAACGUCCUGCGGUGCGUAUGAGUAAUUUGGCCAACAUGUGUGUGUGUGUGUGUGGCGGGCCGUUAAAACGGCGGGGUAAAAGGCGGAUUGCGAUUUUGGACCCACUCGUUAGCACAUCGUGCCGCCCAACGCCCAACGCCCACCACCCACCUCCAACCUCCUAUCUGUCACAACCUUUAGCGCUCGCUCUUCACCUGGCGGAGGGUUUGGCGUAUAAAGUAAGGCAUAAAACGGCCAGAUAAUGGCCCGCCACGUUGGUGGCCGCUUUAUGGGACGCACUUAAAGGAGAAAGAAAACAAACCAGCGGCUUUCUUUCGGGAGUCAUAAAAGGAUACACUGGGAGAAACAGAUAUUAUUUUUGCCAGUGCACGACUGCUUUACCUUGGCCGUCGCGUGCUUAUCUGAUGAUUAGCAUAAAGCAGGUACUCACCUCCUGGUUGGCUUCCUGGCUACCGCUCUCCUCCUCCACACUGGCGGAUGAGCCGUCCUUGCGAGUCCUCUGCUGCAGCUUGACGAGGGCAUGCUGGAAGUCCUGCUCCUGCUGGAGCAUCUCCUCGCGCAGUUCCUGGACGUAGACCUCCGUCUGCUGCUGGCGCUCGCGCUGAGCGGCCAGAUCUAGCUUAAGCUGCUGAUAGUCACUGCGAAUGGUGGCCAGAUCCUCAAAGGUGGAGCUGCGCUGCUGGACAUCCUGGGCCACGUUGCUGGCCGUCCUUUGCAGAUCCACCAGCUGUUUGCGGAUCUCGGAGAUCGUCUGCUGCAGCCACUCGACGGUCAAGCGCUCCUUGUUGCCACUCUGCGAGGAGCGCAGCGCGGCCAGCUCCUCCCUGAAAAGGAAAAAAAAAUUUAAUAGGUCUCUAAUUAGCAGGGGGCAGGCUGUCGGCUAACUUAAUUGCCAAUGCGGCUGGCGUGCGGUCCACUAAUGGGAUUUUGACCUGCACUCAAUCAUGCUGCAGCCCCACCUCGAUACCGCUAAAUUUCCAUCGAGCGUUUAAUUUAAGCUCUGCGAGAUUAUUUCACCAGCCCCAAACAUUGUCGACAAACGGAAAUCACAGAAAUCAGGAAAAGCGGACAGCGGACAGAAAUUCACAAAUGGCGAUGGCAAAGUUUGCCGGAAAACAUUCAAAAUAAAAAAUCAAGUGCGAACAGACCGCAAACAACAAGUGCUGGGUGAAAACGUUGUUUAAAUGCUGAGAAUGAAAAUGAAAAUGUUGUAGCACUUGUGGCAGUUGCCAGCUACCAAAAAAUAAGAGCGAAAUGAGACCAAGACCGAACGAAACGCAUUUUUGUGGCAUUUCAGACAAUUAAAGUAGUCAGUUGGAAGGAAGCGGAAACGGAAGCACAGCCGCAAGAAGCUGAACAAAUUCGGAGCGUAGGUAAAAAGUUUUGUUUUUCGAAAGGCAGCAGCAGCCGAAGAAGAAGAAGGAGAAGCAGAGCAGCUGCCGCUGUACUUUUAUUUUUCACUGUCAAAAGAGCACAGCUACAUGAAAUUUUCAUAAAGAAAAAA
ensembl:ncRNA asRNA:CR45137 antisense RNA:CR45137